GUCCUGUGGGCCAUGGAGGAUACAGAGAAGGGACACUUUAGAUAUUUAUUAUUUAUAUGUUUUAGUCAAUGACUAAUUAGUAGGUGCUGUUUUUGCAGCUUGUCAAUUAUGUUAUCUUACUAACUGAAGCUGCCUUUAUUCACAAAAGGCCCCCGUCCCCCAGCCCUUCACCUCCCUCCCCCUCUCAUCCCCCAGCCCCUCUGGUCUCUGUCUCUCUCUUGCCCUGUCAAUCUCUCUCUCUCUCUGUCUCUCCCUGUCUGCCCUGCAUUCUCCGUGUCCUCAGUGGAAAGCAGGGGAGUUGGAUACCACGAGGACAGUGCUUCAACCAGCAGCACCAUGGCUAGAAGGGGGGUGCCCUUGGGGACAGGGGCACCAGGCUUGAUGUUAGCCUCAAUUACCAUCCCCCACCCCCACCCCCGGUUCUGGGUGUUAGAAUUCCUGAGCCAUGCUGCUGCCCACAAGGCCGGCGACUUGGAGGGAGGCCGAGCUGCCGCCACCGAGCCAUCCCUGCUUCCUCCAUCACUGCCCACCCGCGGCCAGCCUAACCUCAGGCCUCCAUGAGACGCGACAGGAUGGCAGAGGGAAAGACAUCUAUUUUAGGAUGAGGGUGAGGGGUCAGACCGGGCCGUGAGCACCAGGAGCUAGUCCAGCGCCUCCAAGGAGCUCAGCGUGGCUUUCUCAGGAAGCUCGCAUGAGCUCCACUGGUUUUACAAGCUCUCUGGGAGCCCAGAGGCCAUGUCACGUCCUCUCUCUACCUCUGGCCGCUCCUUCUGCUCCGGGUCCCCCAGGGAGCCGGCCCUUCGCCCUCCUCGCCAGACCAACAGGACUCUGUGUCCUCCACAGUGUCAUUUGUGGUGGCUUUGGGGGCUCAGUCCGGGCACGGCCCAGCGCACAGAAUGUGCCCUCAGACUCCUCAACUCGAACCCCUCCUGCCUCUUGACAUUGCUGACUCCUGUCGCUUUUGGGAACUGGUGGGGAAAUGGCAGAGCCGGCUUCCUGGGGGACGGUCCCCACCCCUCCCCGGCCUGGGCCUCCCUCCCCACCCCACCACCGCCAGGAGACUGGGAAGCUGAGCAGCCUCACGGAGGCUCCCCAUUGUCUCUGGUUUGAACCAGAACUUUGAAGAUGUUCUCUUUGGUUUGAAGGGGAAAAGGGAGGCUUUCAAAGCCCAGGACAGUUUGCGCAAAGGUGACGUUCUUCCAGGGGAAAGAGUUUAACUCGUUUUUUUUUUUUUUUUUCAAUCUGCCCGAGAGUGAUGUAUUGGUUAGAGGCCACUGGUCAGGCAGCCUUGAGCUCUGGAUGUGAGGGUUUCAAAACCAUUGAAUGUGGUCUCUGAAAACCUGUUACAGGAGCAGAGAGAUUGGGGGCGGGACUUCGGGGGCGGGGCUUAGAGGUAGGACAGGGGUCUGGGGCAGGACGCAGUCAAUAGGCUGCAGCAGUUUCCCACUCACCCUGUAACAUUCAGGCAGAAACUGCGCUCAGCGGGUAGACAACCUUCCCAAGUCCGGCCCACUCCACCUGCUGCACAGCGGUCUUAAGGUGUCAGCAGUUCACAGACCCUCACAUUUUAAGACGUGCACACGCUUCUCCCUUUGGAAAAAGGACUUCAUUUGCUGUUCUUAGUGUAACUUUUGUUUUUGUUUUUGUUUUUGUUUUUUGCUGCACCCGAAGCAUGCAGACACUAGGCCAUUGGGGAUGGAAUCCGAGCCACAGCAGUGACACUAGGCCACCAGGGAACUCCUAGUUUCAUUUUUAAGAUGGGGUUUAGAGAGGAGGGCGGAUUAUAGCAGCUCUGGGCACAUGCUGGGGUCAGGGGGAGACUGUGCUUCCUUCUGGUUCUCUAGUUUACAGGUGCAAGGAUAGGACCCCGGCUGGAACCUUGUUCUCUUUCCCAAGAAGGUACAGAGGAGUUCCCUCUGUAGCAUAGCGAGAUCAGUGCUGUCUCUGGAACACUGGGGCGCAGGUUCAAUCCCUGGCCAGGCACAGUAGGUUAAGGAUCGGUGUAGCUGCAGUUGCAGCAUAGAUCACAACUACAGCCAAGAUCUGAUCCCUGGUCUGGGAACUCCAUAUGCUGAGGAGCAACCAAAAACAGGAAAAAAAUAAAAAAGGUGCAAAGGAGAGGAGAAGUGUAGCUGCUGGGUAUGGGCCCUGAGCAAAGACCCCUUUCACAGCCAAGUUCACUGGGGACUCAGGACCCAAGCUCCCCCAGCAGUACCCCCUCGGGCUAUAUUAGAAACAGCCAUUGGCAAAGGCCCGCCAAAUCGAAGUCACUCCCUAUGGCUGGGGUCCAGGACAUAAGCACAGAUGAGUGAAGCAAUUGGUACAAGACAUUAGAGAGUGGUGGGGAUUGCAGUCUGUGGCGUGCACAUGACCCAGGCCAAAAACAGCUGCAGCUCAGCUCCAUUCUGUCAUUGCAUUUGAGGAUCCAUGCGUGGUGCAGCAGAAUCUUCUUGGUAAGGGAAGCCAGAUUUUUAUAAGAAAUCUGAUUUUUAAAUGGUAGUUAGGUUUUUUCUUUUUGUUUUUAACAGAGUAUAGGCAAAGGGAAACUUCACAGUUCAGCCUCUGCACUGCCAGCAACCUCUGCUCUCUGGAGAGGUGGUUUAUUUAUCUUUUAAUUUUUUUUUUUUAAUUUUGGCCACCUCCAUGCAUGGGAAGUUCCCAGGCCAAGGAUUGAACCUACACCACCGCAGUGGCCCAGGCCACUGAAGUGACGGCACCAGAUCCUUAACCCACUGUGCUACAAGGGAGCUCCUGGAGAGAUGAUUUUAGAGGAAGUUAGGCAUUUCCUGGUGGAGGAGGAAAAAGCCAGAUUUGGAAGAGGCCAAAGUAAUAGCUUAUGUUGAAGUCUCAAAGGAAUGGGGACCUCGUACUCCUCAUUCCCAUCCCAAAGAAACGGUCCCACAGAGAAGUGUCCCAUGACAACUGGCUUGUUCAGCUCUUUUGGUUGCAAGACAGCUUGUGCUGAAAGGAAAGUGGAACUGAACUGAGAGACUCAAGAGCUGCCCUUGGACAUACGGAGGUCCCCAUAGGCCCAGUCCCCACGUUCCGGAGUUCCACUGCGCCAGGUGGAGAGGUCCAGGACAGGGUCCAGGAGGAGGGGGUGGCGUGUCAAACAGCCCGGCUCUCUCCAGCUCCCGGGUUUUAGCAACCAUCUUGCCACAGGUCUGGAAGCAUCCUCAGAAGCUGCCCCGGGGCGGGGGGCAGAGAGAGGGGCUCCCCUCUGCUUCUGCCUCACUUUCCUUCCUCUGCCCAUGGGUCAAACACAGGUGCUACCUCAUGUGUCUGCUGAGACGUUUACCUGGGGGGCGGGGGGAGAAUAAAGGUGUCCACAUCUGCUGGAGCUGAAUGUAUAAUCUAUGCAAAUUCUGUCUCUCUUUCUUUGUCUGUCUGUCUGUCUCUCUCUCUCUCGAAGUAUUUUUUUUUUAACCUUGCAAACAAGAUACUGUAUAGACCCCCCCCCCUUAAGACUGAGGAGGGCUUUCGUGCACCACCUGCGUCUACCCCUCACGUUGUCCUUGGUUCUGUCCUUGCCAAGCCCCAGGCAGGGAGAAAGUGGCCCUCCCUUCCCACUCCCCUCGGCCGGGAACACACCACCCGCCCCUUCCUGCAGACCCCACAGGAGAGCAGGUUCUGCACCUUCCCGCCUCCAUUCCCAGCUCCAUCCUCUCUGUGCCUCCCUUGCCCCCCCCUCCCAUCUCUGCCCCCCCCCAAAGCCUUAGGUUUCUCUUUUGUGAAAUGUGGCCUUAAAAUUAUUUUUGGAAAGCUGACCCCUCUCCCCCUCCCAUUUCCACCACCAUCCAAGAAGCAUGAGCAUCUUGAGGAGCAACCUCCUGAGCGAGGGGGCUGCCGAGCUGUAGCUUGGCAGAUGCAACAGAAAUGGCUUGUGUGUGUCAUCUGGAAGGAAAAAAAGAAAAAAAAACCUCAUAUGUUUUCUAUGGGUAAAAUGAAGGCUUGGGUGCUCAGCUCAACCUCAGCCAGCUUCCGAAGCCUUUUUCCUCGAGCCGAUCUCGCUGUCAUGGGCUGGCUUGGUACCCGCAGAGCGCUCACAGGGGCUUGCCACCCCUUCCCUCCCCCAGAGACUCGGUGACUUUCUGUACUUCGUUCAAGGGAAAACCAGGAGAGUUUCUCAGUUUAUCUCUUCAUCCUUCCUGCCUGGAAAGGGACAGCAUUAAACAUUCCCAGUGGAUGGGUCACGUUUUCAAAGACUUUACCCUCUUUUCAGAGUCCAUCCAUUUCCCUCCCAUUGCUCCAGGGCUGAUGGAGGCCAAAGACAACCCCAGGGUUUUCAUAGGAAAUUCACUGGAAUUGAGCGCAAUUGUCUUUGUCGUCUUUUUUUUUUUUUUUUAAAUCUUAUUCUGUUGUUGACAGCGUUUGGGUAUUUUUUUAGAGGCCUCACGAUAAGUUAUUACCGUCCCCCUCUUUGUUUUUCAAAGACAUGUGGUGAUAUAGUUUUUAAAAAUAACUAUUUUGUUAUAGAUCAUAAUAUGCAUAAAACUGUACAGAAAUAUUUUGUAAUGUAUUGAUUUUAAAAAAAAAGAGACGCUGUAAAUAAAGUUUAAAAAAAAAAACAAGAGACUUCAAAUGGCACACACUGAAAGAUGUAGAUAUUUUGCUAUUUAUUUAAAGGAGUAUUUUAAGAGAUACUGAACUAUCUGAAAUUGACCAGUAAUCAAAGUUCCAAUCAUCCCGAGUGCUUUUCCUCGCGGUAGAAUGUGAUUCUCGGAAACGAUUGCACUACCCGCCCAUUUUUGCACCUUUUCUGUCUUUUCAUUUAGCAGAAAAACAACAAUGAAAUUGUGCCUUAGCUGUAUUUUUUUGUCUAGGGGAGUUUGUUUCUGUCUGACAAAGCAAAGUUUUUUGCAGAAAACAGUGGAUGUAUUAAAUACUGUAUCAUACCAAAAACACUGCAGGUGUAUAGAUGCUUUCUGUCAUACUGUGUUUUCAGAUGCAGAAUUUUAAAAUUAAAAAAAAAAAAUACUGUCUUUAUGGAA
rnacentral:lncRNA from 1 species